rnacentral:rRNA from 1 species
GACGAACGCUGGCGGCGUGGAUUAGGCAUGCAAGUCGAACGGUAUCAUCCUUUCGGGGGUGAGAGAGUGGCGAACUGGUGAGUAACACGUAGGUUAUCUACCCUCAAGACGGGGACAACCCAGGGAAACUUGGGCUAAUACCGGAUGUGAGCAACUUUUAGUUGUUUGAAAGGUGGCGUAAGCUGUCGCUUGGGGAUGAGCCUGCGUCCUAUUAGUUAGUUGGUGAGGUAACGGCUCACCUAGGCAAUGAUAGGUAGGCGGCCUUAACGGGUGGUCGCCCACACUGGGAUUGAGAUACGGCCCAGACUCCUACGGGAGGCAGCAGUCGAGAAUAGUCUACAAUGGUCGGAAGACUGAUAGUGCGACGCCGCGUGAACGAUGAAUCCCUUCGGGGUGUAAAGUUCUUUUAAUGUGAGCAGUGCUUCUUAUAUUAACAGUAUGGGGAAGAGAUAUUAGCAUAUGAAUAAGCAACGGCUAACUCCGUGCCAGCAGCCGCGGU